AAAAGGUACACAACUGAUGUAGGUUUCAAACAAUGUGGGGGGAGAGAGGGACCGGUGGGGCUUGUGCCAUAUAAAAUAGACAAAUUACAAUCAAAAUGAGCCUAGCUCAACUAUCUGUGUGAAAAGAAAAGAAAAGAAAAGAAAAGAAAAGAAAAGAAAAGAAAAGAAAAGAAAAGAAAAG